CCAAAGUUCAACAUUUUUUUCCUCGGUGAACACUGGAUGAAGCCCUGGCUGGGCCACUGGCUGACACCCUGGGGAGCACCUUCCCUCCCCUGUCCUAGGUUGUGUCCUCUAAGCCAGUGGUUGGCUACCCUGAGACCACCAGCCACAGAGUUUUCAACUCUGCACCAUAGACUCCAAAAGAAGUCUUGGAAGUGGAACCAACCUGAGAGAGUGUACUCCCUACUUCUAAACAACUUCCUAAAUUAUAAUUUUCCAGAAUCUUGCCCAGCAUCAUGUUUUCUGAACAGUGGGUGACCUGGUGCAGCCAGCAACCUGAGGUUUGGUUACACGAGUGAGUUGACAGAGGUUUCACCUUGCACUCCCUGACUUCCAGCAACGUGAGUAAACCGGAGAAGGCUCACUGGGCACCCCCUGGGUCAAAUCCUGGAGUGACCUGAAUGGUUGCCUCACCCGUACUCUGAUCCUGAGCUUGUUCUCUCCUCGACCUGAAUAGGACAGAAGCAGAAAACCAAGA
rnacentral:lncRNA from 1 species